CUCCUCCUCCUCCUCCUCCCCUUGCUGUCUUUCUAUUGUUGGCAUCCAUUGUUCAAAACAGGUAAUCUGACCUGUCCCCUAUGUAUAGGGAUAUACUAAAGCAGUGAUUGGUUAGUGUUCAGUGAUGACAUAAUUUGUGUUUGCACAUGUGAGCAGUGUGUGUGCACCCUGGUAACUGAAGUGUAGCAUUUUGAUUGGUUGUGUUUGGAAAAGGAAAGCAAUUCACUUCCUUAUCGAUUUUUGUGUCUUAGAUAUAGAAUUGU